AUUGAACGCUGCGGCAGGCUUAACACAUGCAAGUCGAGCGCGCGGCGGACGGGUGCGUAAUGCUUAGGAAUCUGCCUAUUAGUGGGGGACAACAUCUAGUAAGGGAAGCUAAUACCGAAUCCUCAUACAUGCGCCUAGUCGGAUUUGCUAGUUGGUGGGGUAAAGGCCUACCAAGGCGCAGACCUGUAGCGGGUCUGGGAGGAUGAUCCGCAACACCGGGACGGGGACAGGCCCAGACCCCCACGGGAGGGAGCAGUGGGGAAUAUUGCCAAUGGGGGGAACCCUGAUCCAGCCAAGCCGCGGUGUUGAAGAAGGCCUUAUGGUUGUAAAGCACCUUAAGCGAGGAGGCGUUACUCGCAGAAGAAGCACCGGCUAACUCUGUGCCAGCAGCCGCGGUAAUAC
rnacentral:rRNA from 1 species